GUCCAUGGCCAUGCCACCCUGAAUAAGCCCGAUCCUGUCUGAUCUUGGAAGCUAAGCAGGGUUGGGCCUGGUUAGUACUUGGAUGGGAGACCACCUAGGAAGACCAGGUCCUGUAGGCA
rnacentral:rRNA from 1 species